GUCCACGCCGUAAACUAUGGAUGCUAGCUGUUAUCGGUAUCGACUCCGGUAGUAGCGAAGCUAACGCGUUAAGCAUCCCGCCUGUGGAGUACGGUCGCAAGACUAAAACAUAAAGGAAUUGACGGGGACCCCGCACAAGCGGUGGAGUGUGUUGUUUAAUUCGAUGAUAAGCGAAGAACCUUACCAAGGUUUGACAUCCUGCGAAGGUCUCCGAAAGGAGACUGUGCUUUUAGAACGCAGUGACAGGUGAUGCAUGGCCGUCGU
rnacentral:rRNA from 1 species